GGUGAACGCUGGCGACGUGCCUAAUACAUGCAAGUCGUACGGAAAGGCCCUUCGGGGUACUCGAGUGGCGGACGGCUGAGUAACGCGUGGGAACGUGCCCCAAAGUGAGGGAUAACGCACCGAAAGGUGUGCUAAUACCGCAUAUGGUCUUCGGAUUAAAGCUUCGGCGCUUUGGGAGCGGCCCGCGUACGAUUAGAUAGUUGGUGAGGUAAUGGCUCACCAAGUCGACGAUCGUUAGCUGGUCUGAGAGGAUGAUCAGCCAGACUGGGACUGAGACGCGGCCCAGACUCCUACGGGAGGCAGCAGUAAGGAAUCUUCCACAAUGGGGGCAACCUUGAUGGAGCAACGCCGCGUGCAGGAUGAAGGUUUUCGGAUCGUAAACUGCUUUUAUAAGUGAAGAAUAUGACGGUAACUUAUGAAUAAGGAUCGGCUAACUACGUGCCAGCCGCCGCAGUAA
rnacentral:rRNA from 1 species